ensembl:antisense
GAGACUGGGGAGAGGCCUGCCUGGAUGAGCCCAAGCCCUGCUGUACCAUCUGCAUUCGACAGUGAGGAUGCCCAUUGACAGGAAGCAGACGUAGAGAAAAGGAGAAUCAGAAUGAUCGACAGGCUUCAAAUCCUACCUCUAACACUUAACUACGUUCCGCACGUUUGGUCUCGGGCAGGCCAAUUAACUCAUCAAGACCCCAUUUUCACCCCCCUGAAAAGUGGCAUAGUAACUCAGUUCUAUUGAGUUACUGAGGACUGGCCCACAAAGAGACAAGCAAUGUAAGUCAGACACAAGACAGACUGAACCUGCUCUGUCACCAUUCGAUACUUUUAGAGGUGGGAUUAGCUUUCUGUUUGGAAAAAUUGGGUCACUACCAUUCAUUCCUCCAUUCAACAAUGUUCCAUUGAUUAUGAGUUCAGUGGUAACUAGCACACAACAGGACUUAUCCUCAGUGGUAAUUGUGGAAGUCAGAGACGUGGAACAUCUUUGGAAGGGAGAGGUGGUUUCACUGGGUUAUUUAGAAAUGGGCCAGAAAGCAUCUAAAUGGAGUUUCACAGAUAGCCUUUUUUGAAAUAUCAUUUAAGUUUUUGUUUUAUUUUGUUUGGUUUUUUUUUUUUUUUUUGGCAUCAUUGAGAUAUAUUCAUAUAGGCCAGGAUAAGCCCCCCCCUACAAAAUGGAUAACAGAAGAUGACCUUGAACUCCUGACAUCCCAAUUUCUACCUCCUGAGCGCUGGGACUGUAGGUGGCCUAAUUGUUUCUAAAGUUGAAUGGAUCUGAAGUUCCUGAACUUGUGUGCAAGCGUUUGACAGAGGCUGAUGAGAGAUUCCUGUCACUGCGUGUGUGCCAAAGUUCUCUGGAAGUGGGACUGGUGAUAUUGAUCUGACCCUCUGCAGUGUUCCGAGGGCUUGUUUACCCACUCCAAGUCUGUGAGUCCUAAUGAAGCAGGGCUAAGUCCGCUGAAGACCACCUUUGAGAGAUCCUGGAGUGGCUGCUCCCUGAAGAGAGUCCUGGUCCUAGGAAUCUGGGAUUCUACCUGAAGUCCCAAAGAUGAACAAAUGGUAGAGAGGCACCUGACUGAGCCUGCUUCCUAACCGACUUCUCAGAACUGCCUGCCGCUGGACUGCCUAACAGAAGCUCAAGUUCUGGGAUUCCACCCUUGAAGAGAAAUGAAUCUGCACUUAACUUAGUGAGCCCUGUAGGUCAGGACAUGUAGUUCUUGCUACCCUGAAGCUCACUAUGUACGACAGACUGGCCCGAACACACUGAGAUCUGCCUGGUUCUGCCUCCCCAGUGCUGAGAUCAAAGGCACGCGUAUAGUUAGGGUAUAGGACUUUUACUUAUAUGUUAUGGCUCUAGGUUUGUUUUCAUGGGAUUCCUGAUUGUGCCAGCAAUUGGGUCUCUGUGUCUACAUCUGUUUCUUUUGCCUUUUCUUUGACUCCCUUUCUUUUGUUUGUUUCUUUUGCCCUAUUCUGACGUGUUAGUUUUUGUUUUAUCUUAUUAUAUUUUAUUAUUAUUUUAUUAUUAUUCAUCAAGUUCCCUCUGUUUUCUAAAGAGAAACAGAAAGGUGGUGAAUUUGCAUGGGGUGGGAGACAUAGAAGAACUGGGAGGAGUAAAGAGAGAAGAGAUCAUAAUCAGGAUAUAUUGUAUGAAAAAAAACAGACCAUUUUCAAUAAAACUACAACAAAAAAUGAAGAAUGAAAAUAACCAGUCUACCUUAUCUUCCCAGAAGAAGGAAGACUAACCUUGAACUUAUGGUUCUCUCUGCCUAUGCUUCAUGAGUGUCGGUAGUGUGGGAUUGCACCAUGAGGAAGAUACUGUGGUGGGAUAGAACAGAUUGUGACAGAAAACUAAAAAUUCUCAACCAGAAGAAUU